rnacentral:lncRNA from 1 species
AGCGCAGGUUGACAUUGUUGGGUUUUGAGCAUUCUAACACUUCCUAAGUGUACAUGCAACCCUAAAUACCUUGGAUCUAUGUUUUCUCUAUUAUACAUGCAAAUAAGAACUUCCAAGGUAUUAUCCUAAUCUAGCAUACAAAUCAAUGAAUGUAACAAGAUAGAAUACAUACCUUUUGAUGUAGCUUGAUGUCUUCAAGCUUUAAGAGCUUAGCCCCAAUAGUGUGGAAGCCUCAAGUGGAAUCACAAUCACCAAAACACUUAGAAUAGCUUGAGAGAAUUCUACAACUCAUGAAAUCGGCUAGCCCUUUUACACCACACACUAGUGGCCGAUUUUGGUCAAGAAUAAGAAGCUUAUAUAGUUAGGGUUACACCAUGUAAACCCUAAUUGACAUGGCCUUUCAUUUCCAUGAUCCAUGGGUACAAAUACACCAUGGAGCAUCCAUGGACCAUCCUAUGGGUUUUAGCCCAACUUGAUUAUCCAUGGAGCAUUAGCCCACUAUACAAGUAUGGAUGAUUUACACAAUCAACCCAUAUAUUUAAUUAGUCUUCUUUUGAUCACUUAAUUAAUCCUAGAUUAAUUCUUGAUCAAUACUAAUUAAAUAAUCUUAUUAUUCUUAUUAUUAAUAUACUAGAACUUAUAAUAUAUUAAUAACCAUAAGUGUCUUAUUUCUCUCAUUAUAGUCUAUCCAAGUGCAUGAUGGUAUGCAACCCAAAUGGACCAUGCCGGGUCGGGUCAAGUCUUACCAAUUAUAGUUAUGGACUUAGACAUUAAUCCAACAGUCUCCCACUUGGAUAAGUCUAAAACUAUUAUUGCGUAUGACUUCAGGAACCAACUGGCAAUCGUAGCUCUCAAAAGCUUCUGUCGAACUCUGACCUUGUAGAUGAACUCUGACCUUUGUCAAUGACUUGUCCAUUAGAUAAGGGAUCAUAUAUUCCUCCAUUCUAGAUAUCAUAUGGACUGAGACAUGGAUUAUAAUCAUUCUCUCUGUCCAUUUGUUGUUUCCCGAUUUCCGAUUUAUGACGACUGACUAAUUGAACAAAUCAAAUCAGUCCUGGCCCGGCCGAGCACUUCCAUUUGUCAUCAUCAAAUCAUCGAGGGGCCCACAGAUAUCGCUUUUAUCCCGAAGGUAAAAGGAAUGGAUAAACUUCGACUCAUAUGGCUUGUUCUACUACUUGUUGAAUCAUACACAAAGGCACGUUUUAUAGCACCGAGUUACCAAAUGCGUUUUCGUGCAAUCAAUGUACUAUCAACUCAUAGUAACAACUCAUAUCUCUAGGUUUGAAGAAUAUAAGAUAUUAUCGUCUCAUGAUCACUCGUGAUAAAAUCCAUGAAGUGAUUCCAAUGAGCGCGGGUUGAAUCCAAUACUCAGAACUUAUGAGCACUCAUGAGUGUUGUAGCCCUUUGUCCAACACCUUAGACCUCUACAAGCCAACCCAUGACAGUCUUAAUUCAUAUCUACUUCCAACAUAUGACCGACUGUGGAUGGUUUGAAUAACUUAGUCAUUCCGGAAGAAUAACCCAGUUUAUUCGGGAAGUCAAAACAUGCAAAAUGAAACACAAUAAUAAUUGAAUCCAAUAUGGUAUCAACCCUUUGAACAUAAAUAAAACACCUUUUAUUUAUCACCAUAUGAUUACACAUUAUUCAUUGUAUACUGUUUCAGCUAUCAACUUUAUUCUUGAAUUUAAAACAAUAGUUGUCCCAUGCUCCAAGCAUGUACACUAUGUUUUCUUAAACACUAGUCAUGCCACACACCAAGUAUGCAUACUAUGUUUGUCUAUGAUCUUUACUUUGUGAACUAGAUCAAUUGAACAUAACUUCAAUGAUUCUCUUUUCACACUCCCAAAUCCUUACUGCAAAUGCAAGAAUUCCAAAUUCAUGCCAUUUACUGAAAUCUGUUAGAUUCUAAACUUAUAUGCAUUGAUCCUCUUGUAAUGAUUAUGCACAAAGUCACAAAGACUUGGCAACAAUCAUUACAGAGUAUUCCAAAGGAGAUCAACUCCUUGGAAAUAUCCUUCUUGCAUUAAGUUUCCUUAAUCUUACACAGAUUGAAAAUUCUAACUUUGAAACAUUUCCAGAUUCCAUUUUGACUAUCACUUCUGAACAAGAGUUGCCUCCUUACAGAUUAUGUCAAUAUGGUCCUUCCAGAAUUAUCACUAUACUUCCAAUUGUCCUUGAGUAACCAAUCUUUGGUAAACCUUAGAUUGUCCUCGACAAUUGUUUAAUCCUUUUAGUCAUAUCCAGUUCUAAACCUUUUCCCUUCUUAAUGCCCCAGGCAUUUGGAAAAUUUUAGAACGGAUGAAUAUAGCACAUGUAAUCGAUCCUAUAUCCGAAGCAUAUGGGACACGAUUCAUGAUGUCUUACAUAAAGACUAAACCAGUCUUUUGCUAUAAUAUUUCCAUUUCAAUUUGCCAAGUUCUCAUAAUUCAGAUUAUGAAAAGGGAUGCCGUAAUCAUAAUCGAAUUUUAGAACGCAAAUAAUGGACCCAUAUACAGAAUUUCCUUAUGUUGAGCCAUUCCAACAUGAAAUUCAUAUAUAUCCUUGACUAAAUGAUUAAAACCUCACGAUCUAAGCUUAUAGAUUUGAGAUGAAGCAUAAUUUCCUCUCCCUUAAUUAUAGCAAAACAACUUUUUCCCAAUUGAAACUUUUGUUUUCUAUAAUUAACAUUGCUAACUUGCAAUACUUAUCAUAAUUAUCAUGCUCCCACUAACAUGAUGAUUAUUAGCAUAACACUUAUGCUCCCACUAGCUUUGACAUGUACUCAGAAAUCAGCUGGACAGUCUGAAAUUUAGAUUCAUACACCCUUUCCGUAGAUAGCUCACCUGUGUGUCUAAGCAAUUUCAAGAACCAUGAAAAGGGAUACCGUAAUCAUGGUCUCAAUUGCUUAGGCAUUUGCCAUUUCUCACAAGUCCAUGUUAGUGUGCCGGUUAACCACACGCGCUCCACUAACGACUUUUGAAAAUGCAAAUAACACAAUUGAUAUCUUCGUAAAAUCUACUUAGUGAAAGCGUUUCCUCACCAUCAUUUUCAUGAAUCGGAGAGAAACCUUAUGACACUUAGAUUUAUAUGGUGUAUGAGUUCCUACCCAUAUGAAUUUGUCAAACCAUAAUCACAAGACAAAGAUAAUGACAAAUCCAAAACCAUAUGGAUUGAACUCAAUCUUAACUUCUUGCCACCUGGCAGCUCAAGGGCCUGCCAUUGCUUCCAAGUUGUUAUGCAACAAACUGAGAACUCUAAGAACUCAUAUGCAAAGCCAACUUUAACUGGAAUGGGCACAGAUAUGUCAACACGAUAGGUUAUAAACCUCAAGUCGUGUGCUAGUGAAGAACUUUAGGUUUUAUUCUUGAUUAUUUCUUGAGACUUUCAAGACCUUUAAGACUCCCACUGUCCUCUUGACAUAUAAGACUCCCUUGUCAAACAUCCAAGAGAUAGUGCGGAUUCUAAUCAAGAAAAACACUUUACCCAAUUGGCCUAAGUUGGUCUUUGUUUUAUCCAAAACAUCACAACUUACCAAUUUCAAAUGUACAAGAGUAGAAAACUUUUACUCUUACAUUUGACAAGUGUUUUAAACCUUCUUUAAGACAUGUCACUCAAAUGACAAUCUUGGAGUAUGACUCUAAGACUUGUAUUGGAACGAAGUAUGACUCAUCUUCUUGAUUUAACCAUUUCAACAAUUCAAGUUCCUCUUCUUAGUCAUAAGAAUGCACUAAGAUUUCCUUAGAGAACUAAUUUUGAUAUGGUUUCUUAAUCAUUAAGAUGAUCACAAAACUGAUACUAAAGUACUCUCCCAUCUUUUCAGAUUUGAGAAACUUUUAUCCUUCUGCCUUAUUUGAUUCUUCUUAUCGAUCUUUAGUGGUGGACUUAAUCAGUGCACAAGAAUGUGUACUCGAUCCCUUAGUCCUUUACUUGACUCACACAUCCAUGUGAACAAGUAAUUAGUCUUAAUUUUCCAAAACUUGAAAGUUCUCAUUCAUCAUGCUAUACAACUUGCAUGAUUCCAAGUUCCGGUCCAAUUGAAACUUGGGUGAUGAGAAUCUUUCCUUAUUUGGUAAAUCUAGACAUUACCACAAAUGAAAGAAUCAAUUUCAUAUUUCCACUCUUGCUCUUAAUGGAAUCAUAUAAGCAACAAUUUUUCCUCAAAAGCCAUUGUAAGGAUAUUUUAAAAUAAAUAAAAUCAAAAAAAUUUUCUUUUAUUUUAAAACUUUGCGGAAAAACUUAUCCUUACAAUCCAUAUGAAAACUUGUUGUUAUCUAUUCCUAAGCAAUAUCUCAUAACUCCUAAGAAGUAGCUCAAGAAUCCGAUCUUCAAACUAUGCGAUAGAAAUCCAUCUACGCCAUCAGAUUCAGCAUAUUCUUUCUUUAAGUUUCUUCACUUUUCUUUGAUUCUUAAAACAUCACCAUGUGACCCAGUCACAUCAUGUAUCAAGAAUCUCAGAAUAGAAACUUAACAGAGUUAGAUAGUGGACUUUACCUGAAGUAGAGUCAAACUUAUUGACUUUAACAUCCUUAGGUAAAUUUGGCAGCUUCGCAACCAAUGCCCCUUCCUUUGGCAAUAUAAACAUAUGGACCCUUUGAUAAUGGUACACGGGACUAUCACAGACUUAGCUUUUCUCUUUACCAUUUGGUCAACCGAGUUGACUAUGGCCGAUCCCUUUCCAUUGGGAAGAGAAUGCUUUACUGGAUAUCCAAUGUCAUCAUUGUCAAUGUCCAUAAAGUUUUAGGAAGUUGAUCUUAGCAAAUAGAUAAGAUCAUUAAGGGUCUUGUCAUAGUCUGUUUCAUAGGUGUCCCAAAGGAACUCACUAUGUGACUUAGAAAGUGGUUGAACCACCAACUUUCUCAAGACUUUGACACCCAACUCUCCCGGCUUGUCAAUAUGUGACUACAUCUCCAAGAUGUGACCACACCUAGACCUUGCCUUGCUAAUAGGGCCUGAGUGACCUUAAACUUUUCAAGAACUUGUGGGUUAGGGAGAAUAAUUUGAAGAGGUGAAGAAGUAUGAUAUCCAUGGGACAUCAUCUUCAUUAGGAAACCUUGUUUCAAGAGAUUUGGGAAGAUCAUAGGUGUCUAAACCAGACAUCUUUUGGGAGAUAUUCAAGAUAGUUGAUUUAAAGUCCUUAAUAUGACACCCAAUAUGAAAUAUUAAGGCUAGGACCCAACAAACUAUUUUAUAACUUAGAAGAGGUAUGCCGUAAUCCAAGCUAUAAAAUAUUUGAAGGUAGGUGAAUGACGAUUCACCAAUUUCCACCAAGAUAAACGAAAUGUAUUAUUAGGUUUUAAUUGGUUUUGAAACUCCUAGAUCUUUGAGAUUCAUUGAACUUUUCAAAGGCAUGUUUCAAUCUCGAGUGUGCCCUUCAGGUUUUGUGACUGGGAUGCCGAGGAUCACAAAACAAGGUGUGAAGUAACCAUGCAAAUCACUUGGUACCCUUAAUAAAUUACCCCUCAAUCGAUGUGCCGGUUAACCACACACGCUCCAUCGAUACUAUGAUAAAUAUUAAGUCACCCUUUACCUACCUUGUUAAGUCCAAGUUAGUGUGCCGGUUAACCACACACGCUCCACUAACGACUUAGACAAAGUGUAAAGUGUAAUUUCAUGGAUUAGCACCUUAUUCACAUUUUUCCUAAGUAACUAAGAUUGGGUAUUAUUAAGAGUUUAGUUACUUAGUAUUAUCAUUAAUACUUUUAAUGAAGGGAGAAUUCUAGUCCUGUCAAACCCGUUCGGCUAACGACCCUCCACCAGUCAAGCAAGCGGUGGGUGAGAGUGGACACCCAUUAAGUUGCCAUUUUAUAGGCAACAACCUUAUACCCACCUUAUAGACCGGCUUCGUGAAUGAGGCGUACUAGCGGUAAGACUGACUUUACUCUUAUACAUAUAUAUAUUAUUAACUUAUAAUAUUAUAAAGUAUAAGGGUUGAAUUUUAACUUUUAAAAUUCUAAGGGCUAACUUGGAAUUAAAGUAUUCAUACUUGAAAACUUUUCAAAUUCCAAAACUUGAGGGCAAGUUUUGAAACUAUUCAAAACUAAUUAAUUCCAUAACUUAUGUGUUUAAAGUAGUUUUAAUCCAAAAACUCUUCAAGUUCCAUAACUUGAGGACAAGUUAUGGAAGACUUUAAACUAAUAAAAGAACUAACUUUUUCUUUAUUUUAUAACUUAUGGAUUUAAUUAUGGUUACAUAUUUUUCUUUAAUGAAGUGACUCUUGAACUUCCAUAACUUGAGGACAAGUUAUGGAGUCAAAAAAAAUUAUUCAAUGACACAAGACUCUUCAUUUUGUAACCAUUGCCAACUUUUAUGAGUUUUAUGAGUCUUUAAUGUGACUCUUCAUGUAACUUGAGGACAAGUUACACAAACACAUUUUAUACUCAACUCUUAGAUUAAAAUGGAUUGAAAACAACUAUUUCACUCAACAUUUCUAUUAAUCUAAGCAACUCAUAAGAACAAGAUAAUUCAAAUCAAACUUUUUCAUGUAAUUAGUCUAAACCUUAAACUAAUACAAAACAUGAAUCUAUUGACAAUUAUCUUUGAAAAUGGAUUAGCAUGAACAUUACCACAUCAAAAACAAGUUUAUAAGUUCAAAAACAACUUAGGGUAAUGUUCCUAGUCCAUUUCUAGCCAAAAAACUCGAAAAUAUGCUGUCUGGGGGUCCAACUCGUCGAGUGCAUGAACAAACUCGGCGAGUUGGAUCGAAUUCAUCACUUUUUAGGCAUGGACUCGUCGAGUCUCCUGAUGGACUCGCCGAGUCUGAUGGCCAGACAGCACCAGAUUCGUUUUUUCAGCUUCUAUUGCAGGUAUAACAAGAAAACAAGCCUAGGCUCUGAUACCACUGUUGGGUUUUGAGCAUUCUAACACUCCUAAGUGUACAUGCAACCCUAAAUACCUUGGAUCUAUGUUUUCUCUAUUAUACAUGCAAAUAAGAACUUCCAAGGUAUUAUCCUAAUCUAGCAUACAAAACAAUGACUAUAACAAGAUAGAAUACAUACCUCUUUGAUGUAGAAAGUCUUCAUGAAGCUUGAGUGCCUAGUGCCCCAAGUGUGACACCUCAAAUGGAAUCACAAUCAUCAAAACACUUGGAAUGACUUGAGAGAAUUCUACACUCUUCAAAAUCGGCUAGCCCUUUCUUCACUAUCACUAGUGGCCGAUUUUUCCUCAAUAAUAAGAUGCUUAUAUAGUUACACAAUUAGGGUAAACUCUUAAUUGUCAUGGCUUUCCAUUUCCUUGGAUCCAUGGGUACAAAUACACCAUGGAGCAUCCAUGGACCAUCCUAUGGGUUUUAGCCCAACUUGAUUAUCCAUGGAGCAUUAGCCCACUAUACAAGUAUGGAUGAUUUACACAAUCAACCCAUAUAUUUAAUUAGUCUUCUUUUGAUCACUUAAUUAAUCCUAGAUUAAUUCUUGAUCAAUACUAAUUAAAUAAUCUUAUUAUUCUUAUUAUUAAUAUACUAGAACUUAUAAUAUAUUAAUAACCAUAAGUGUCUUAUUUCUCUCAUUAUAGUCUAUCCAAGUGCAUGAUGGUAUGCAACCCAAAUGGACCAUGCCGGGUCGGGUCAAGUCUUACCAAUUAUAGUUAUGGACUUAGACAUUAAUCCAACAGUCUCCCACUUGGAUAAGUCUAAAACUAUUAUUGCGUAUGACUUCAGGAACCAACUGGCAAUCGUAGCUCUCAAAAGCUUCUGUCGAACUCUGACCUUGUAGAUGAACUCUGACCUUUGUCAAUGACUUGUCCAUUAGAUAAGGGAUCAUAUAUUCCUCCAUUCUAGAUAUCAUAUGGACUGAGACAUGGAUUAUAAUCAUUCUCUCUGUCCAUUUGUUGUUUCCCGAUUUCCGAUUUAUGACGACUGACUAAUUGAACAAAUCAAAUCAGUCCUGGCCCGGCCGAGCACUUCCAUUUGUCAUCAUCAAAUCAUCGAGGGGCCCACAGAUAUCGCUUUUAUCCCGAAGGUAAAAGGAAUGGAUAAACUUCGACUCAUAUGGCUUGUUCUACUACUUGUUGAAUCAUACACAAAGGCACGUUUUAUAGCACCGAGUUACCAAAUGCGUUUUCGUGCAAUCAAUGUACUAUCAACUCAUAGUAACAACUCAUAUCUCUAGGUUUGAAGAAUAUAAGAUAUUAUCGUCUCAUGAUCACUCGUGAUAAAAUCCAUGAAGUGAUUCCAAUGAGCGCGGGUUGAAUCCAAUACUCAGAACUUAUGAGCACUCAUGAGUGUUGUAGCCCUUUGUCCAACACCUUAGACCUCUACAAGCCAACCCAUGACAGUCUUAAUUCAUAUCUACUUCCAACAUAUGACCGACUGUGGAUGGUUUGAAUAACUUAGUCAUUCCGGAAGAAUAACCCAGUUUAUUCGGGAAGUCAAAACAUGCAAAAUGAAACACAAUAAUAAUUGAAUCCAAUAUGGUAUCAACCCUUUGAACAUAAAUAAAACACCUUUUAUUUAUCACCAUAUGAUUACACAUUAUUCAUUGUAUACUGUUUCAGCUAUCAACUUUAUUCUUGAAUUUAAAACAAUAGUUGUCCCAUGCUCCAAGCAUGUACACUAUGUUUUCUUAAACACUAGUCAUGCCACACACCAAGUAUGCAUACUAUGUUUGUCUAUGAUCUUUACUUUGUGAACUAGAUCAAUUGAACAUAACUUCAAUGAUUCUCUUUUCACACUCCCAAAUCCUUACUGCAAAUGCAAGAAUUCCAAAUUCAUGCCAUUUACUGAAAUCUGUUAGAUUCUAAACUUAUAUGCAUUGAUCCUCUUGUAAUGAUUAUGCACAAAGUCACAAAGACUUGGCAACAAUCAUUACAGAGUAUUCCAAAGGAGAUCAACUCCUUGGAAAUAUCCUUCUUGCAUUAAGUUUCCUUAAUCUUACACAGAUUGAAAAUUCUAACUUUGAAACAUUUCCAGAUUCCAUUUUGACUAUCACUUCUGAACAAGAGUUGCCUCCUUACAGAUUAUGUCAAUAUGGUCCUUCCAGAAUUAUCACUAUACUUCCAAUUGUCCUUGAGUAACCAAUCUUUGGUAAACCUUAGAUUGUCCUCGACAAUUGUUUAAUCCUUUUAGUCAUAUCCAGUUCUAAACCUUUUCCCUUCUUAAUGCCCCAGGCAUUUGGAAAAUUUUAGAACGGAUGAAUAUAGCACAUGUAAUCGAUCCUAUAUCCGAAGCAUAUGGGACACGAUUCAUGAUGUCUUACAUAAAGACUAAACCAGUCUUUUGCUAUAAUAUUUCCAUUUCAAUUUGCCAAGUUCUCAUAAUUCAGAUUAUGAAAAGGGAUGCCGUAAUCAUAAUCGAAUUUUAGAACGCAAAUAAUGGACCCAUAUACAGAAUUUCCUUAUGUUGAGCCAUUCCAACAUGAAAUUCAUAUAUAUCCUUGACUAAAUGAUUAAAACCUCACGAUCUAAGCUUAUAGAUUUGAGAUGAAGCAUAAUUUCCUCUCCCUUAAUUAUAGCAAAACAACUUUUUCCCAAUUGAAACUUUUGUUUUCUAUAAUUAACAUUGCUAACUUGCAAUACUUAUCAUAAUUAUCAUGCUCCCACUAACAUGAUGAUUAUUAGCAUAACACUUAUGCUCCCACUAGCUUUGACAUGUACUCAGAAAUCAGCUGGACAGUCUGAAAUUUAGAUUCAUACACCCUUUCCGUAGAUAGCUCACCUGUGUGUCUAAGCAAUUUCAAGAACCAUGAAAAGGGAUACCGUAAUCAUGGUCUCAAUUGCUUAGGCAUUUGCCAUUUCUCACAAGUCCAUGUUAGUGUGCCGGUUAACCACACGCGCUCCACUAACGACUUUUGAAAAUGCAAAUAACACAAUUGAUAUCUUCGUAAAAUCUACUUAGUGAAAGCGUUUCCUCACCAUCAUUUUCAUGAAUCGGAGAGAAACCUUAUGACACUUAGAUUUAUAUGGUGUAUGAGUUCCUACCCAUAUGAAUUUGUCAAACCAUAAUCACAAGACAAAGAUAAUGACAAAUCCAAAACCAUAUGGAUUGAACUCAAUCUUAACUUCUUGCCACCUGGCAGCUCAAGGGCCUGCCAUUGCUUCCAAGUUGUUAUGCAACAAACUGAGAACUCUAAGAACUCAUAUGCAAAGCCAACUUUAACUGGAAUGGGCACAGAUAUGUCAACACGAUAGGUUAUAAACCUCAAGUCGUGUGCUAGUGAAGAACUUUAGGUUUUAUUCUUGAUUAUUUCUUGAGACUUUCAAGACCUUUAAGACUCCCACUGUCCUCUUGACAUAUAAGACUCCCUUGUCAAACAUCCAAGAGAUAGUGCGGAUUCUAAUCAAGAAAAACACUUUACCCAAUUGGCCUAAGUUGGUCUUUGUUUUAUCCAAAACAUCACAACUUACCAAUUUCAAAUGUACAAGAGUAGAAAACUUUUACUCUUACAUUUGACAAGUGUUUUAAACCUUCUUUAAGACAUGUCACUCAAAUGACAAUCUUGGAGUAUGACUCUAAGACUUGUAUUGGAACGAAGUAUGACUCAUCUUCUUGAUUUAACCAUUUCAACAAUUCAAGUUCCUCUUCUUAGUCAUAAGAAUGCACUAAGAUUUCCUUAGAGAACUAAUUUUGAUAUGGUUUCUUAAUCAUUAAGAUGAUCACAAAACUGAUACUAAAGUACUCUCCCAUCUUUUCAGAUUUGAGAAACUUUUAUCCUUCUGCCUUAUUUGAUUCUUCUUAUCGAUCUUUAGUGGUGGACUUAAUCAGUGCACAAGAAUGUGUACUCGAUCCCUAAGUCCUUUACUUGACUCACACAUCCAUGUGAACAAGUAAUUAGUCUUAAUUUUCCAAAACUUGAAAGUUCUCAUUCAUCAUGCUAUACAACUUGCAUGAUUCCAAGUUCCGGUCCAAUUGAAACUUGGGUGAUGAGAAUCUUUCCUUAUUUGGUAAAUUUAGACAUUACCACAAAUGAAAGAAUCAAUUUCAUAUUUCCACUCUUGCUCUUAAUGGAAUCAUAUAAGCAACAAUUUUUCCUCAAAUGCCAUUGUAAGGAUAUUUUAAAAUAAAUAAAAUCAAAAAAAUUUUCUUUUAUUUUAAAACUUUGCGGAAAAACUUAUCCUUACAAUCCAUAUGAAAACUUGUUGUUAUCUAUUCCUAAGCAAUAUCUCAUAACUCCUAAGAAGUAGCUCAAGAAUCCGAUCUUCAAACUAUGCGAUAGAAAUCCAUCUACGCCAUCAGAUUCAGCAUAUUCUUUCUUUAAGUUUCUUCACUUUUCUUUGAUUCUUAAAACAUCACCAUGUGACCCAGUCACAUCAUGUAUCAAGAAUCUCAGAAUAGAAACUUAACAGAGUUAGAUAGUGGACUUUACCUGAAGUAGAGUCAAACUUAUUGACUUUAACAUCCUUAGGUAAAUUUGGCAGCUUCGCAACCAAUGCCCCUUCCUUUGGCAAUAUAAACAUAUGGACCCUUUGAUAAUGGUACACGGGACUAUCACAGACUUAGCUUUUCUCUUUACCAUUUGGUCAACCGAGUUGACUAUGGCCGAUCCCUUUCCAUUGGGAAGAGAAUGCUUUACUGGAUAUCCAAUGUCAUCAUUGUCAAUGUCCAUAAAGUUUUAGGAAGUUGAUCUUAGCAAAUAGAUAAGAUCAUUAAGGGUCUUGUCAUAGUCUGUUUCAUAGGUGUCCCAAAGGAACUCACUAUGUGACUUAGAAAGUGAUUGAACCACCAACUUUCUCAAGACUUUGACACCCAACUCUCCCGGCUUGUCAAUAUGUGACUACAUCUCCAAGAUGUGACCACACCUAGACCUUGCCUUGCCAAUAGGGCCUGAGUGACCUUAAACUUUUCAAGAACUUGUGGGUUAGGGAGAAUAAUUUGAAGAGGUGAAGAAGUAUGAUAUCCAUGGGACAUCAUCUUCAUUAGGAAACCUUGUUUCAAGAGAUUUGGGAAGAUCAUAGGUGUCUAAACCAGACAUCUUUUGGGAGAUAUUCAAGAUAGUUGAUUUAAAGUCCUUAAUAUGACACCCAAUAUGAAAUAUUAAGGCUAGGACCCAACAAACUAUUUUAUAACUUAGAAGAGGUAUGCCGUAAUCCAAGCUAUAAAAUAUUUGAAGGUAGGUGAAUGACGAUUCACCAAUUUCCACCAAGAUAAACGAAAUGUAUUAUUAGGUUUUAAUUGGUUUUGAAACUCCUAGAUCUUUGAGAUUCAUUGAACUUUUCAAAGGCAUGUUUCAAUCUCGAGUGUGCCCUUCAGGUUUUGUGACUGGGAUGCCGAGGAUCACAAAACAAGGUGUGAAGUAACCAUGCAAAUCACUUGGUACCCUUAAUAAAUUACCCCUCAAUCGAUGUGCCGGUUAACCACACACGCUCCAUCGAUACUAUGAUAAAUAUUAAGUCACCCUUUACCUACCUUGUUAAGUCCAAGUUAGUGUGCCGGUUAACCACACACGCUCCACUAACGACUUAGACAAAGUGUAAAGUGUAAUUUCAUGGAUUAGCACCUUAUUCACAUUUUUCCUAAGUAACUAAGAUUGGGUAUUAUUAAGAGUUUAGUUACUUAGUAUUAUCAUUAAUACUUUUAAUGAAGGGAGAAUUCUAGUCCUGUCAAACCCGUUCGGCUAACGACCCUCCACCAGUCAAGCAAGCGGUGGGUGAGAGUGGACACCCAUUAAGUUGCCAUUUUAUAGGCAACAACCUUAUACCCACCUUAUAGACCGGCUUCGUGAAUGAGGCGUACUAGCGGUAAGACUGACUUUACUCUUAUACAUAUAUAUAUUAUUAACUUAUAAUAUUAUAAAGUAUAAGGGUUGAAUUUUAACUUUUAAAAUUCUAAGGGCUAACUUGGAAUUAAAGUAUUCAUACGUGAAAACUUUUCAAAUUCCAAAACUUGAGGGCAAGUUUUGAAACUAUUCAAAACUAAUUAAUUCCAUAACUUAUGUGUUUAAAGUAGUUUUAAUCCAAAAACUCUUCAAGUUCCAUAACUUGAGGACAAGUUAUGGAAGACUUUAAACUAAUAAAAGAACUAACUUUUUCUUUAUUUUAUAACUUAUGGAUUUAAUUAUGGUUACAUAUUUUUCUUUAAUGAAGUGACUCUUGAACUUCCAUAACUUGAGGACAAGUUAUGGAGUCAAAAAAAAUUAUUCAAUGACACAAGACUCUUCAUUUUGUAACCAUUGCCAACUUUUAUGAGUUUUAUGAGUCUUUAAUGUGACUCUUCAUGUAACUUGAGGACAAGUUACACAAACACAUUUUAUACUCAACUCUUAGAUUAAAAUGGAUUGAAAACAACUAUUUCACUCAACUUUUCUAUUAAUCUAAGCAACUCAUAAGAACAAGAUAAUUCAAAUCAAACUUUUUCAUGUAAUUAGUCUAAACCUUAAACUAAUACAAAACAUGAAUCUAUUGACAAUUAUCUUUGAAAAUGGAUUAGCAUGAACAUUACCACAUCAAAAACAAGUUUAUAAGUUCAAAAACAACUUAGGGUAAUGUUCCUAGUCCAUUUCUGGCAAAAAAACUCGAAAAUAUGCUGUCUGGGGGUCCAACUCGUCGAGUGCAUGAACCAACUCGGCGAGUUGGAUCGAAUUGAUCACAUUUUAGGCAUGGACUCGCCGAGUCCUCUGAUGGACUCGCCGAGUCUGAUGAUCAGACAGCACCAAAUUCGUUUUUUCAGCUUCUAUUGCAGGUAUAACAAGAAAACAAGCCUAGGCUCUGAUACCACUGUUGGGUUUUGAGCAUUCUAACACUCCUAAGUGUACAUGCAACCCUAAAUACCUUGGAUCUAUGUUUUCUCUAUUAUACAUGCAAAUAAGAACUUCCAAGGUAUUAUCCUAAUCUAGCAUACAAAACAAUGAGUGUAACAAGAUAGAAUACAUACCUCUUUGAUGUAGAAAGUCUUCAUGAAGCUUGAGUGCCUAGCCCCAAUAGUGUGGAAGCCUCAAAUGGAAUCACAAUCACCAAAACACUUAGAAUAACUUGAGAGAAUUCUACAACUCAUGAAAUCGGCUAGCCCUUUCACUUCACACACUAGUGGCCGAUUUUGGUCAAGAAUAAGAUGCUUAUAUAGUUAGGGUUACACCAUGUAAACCCUAAUUGACAUGGCCUUUCAUUUCCAUGAUCCAUGGGUACAAAUACACCAUGGAGCAUCCAUGGACCAUCCUAUGGGUUUUAGCCCAACUUGAUUAUCCAUGGAGCAUUAGCCCACUAUACAAGUAUGGAUGAUUUACACAAUCAACCCAUAUAUUUAAUUAGUCUUCUUUUGAUCACUUAAUUAAUCCUAGAUUAAUUCUUGAUCAAUACUAAUUAAAUAAUCUUAUUAUUCUUAUUAUUAAUAUACUAGAACUUAUAAUAUAUUAAUAACCAUAAGUGUCUUAUUUCUCUCAUUAUAGUCUAUCCAAGUGCAUGAUGGUAUGCAACCCAAAUGGACCAUGCCGGGUCGGGUCAAGUCUCACCAAUUAUAGUUAUGGACUUAGACAUUAAUCCAAUAGACAUCUCCAUUGUUAUUCAUAUUAGGUCGUGUGUUUCAAAUGCAUGACCCAAAAUUUUGAUUGGUUGCAGGAUUCGGCUCAGGGUGUGUGGUAUUGUGUUGGUUUGGGUAUGGUAAGGCCAUGAGUGGUAACCAUGGUUUGUUGUAGGUGUUGUAAGACAACGAUGGGAUCGUAGCAUUCACCAGUUCGAGGUAAACUAUUAUUAGAGAUGGUCAAGUGUGAUGGGGAAUCAGUUUGCGCCUUGGGAAUGUCAGUUAGGAUUGUCGAGGAGUAUUCUCUGUUUUGGGUUG